rnacentral:rRNA from 1 species
GACGUAGGGCGCGAGCGUUGUCCGGAUUUAUUGGGCGUAAAGAGCUCGUAGGCGGCUUGUCGCGUCGUCCGUGAAAACUUGGGGCUCAACCCCAAGCUUGCGGUCGAUACGGGCGGGCUAGAGUUCGGUAGGGGAGACUGGAAUUCCUGGUGUAGCGGUGAAAUGCGCAGAUAUCAGGAGGAACACCGGUGGCGAAGGCGGCAUCCUGGACCGGCAUUGACGCUGAGGCGCGAAAGCCAGGGGAGCAAACGGG